rnacentral:rRNA from 1 species
GAGCUUGCUCUCGGGUGACGAGUGGCGGACGGGUGAGUAAUGUCUGGGAAACUGCCUGAUGGAGGGGGAUAACUACUGGAAACGGUAGCUAAUACCGCAUAACGUCUUCGGACCAAAGUGGGGGACCUUCGGGCCUCACACCAUCGGAUGUGCCCAGAUGGGAUUAGCUAGUAGGUGGGGUAAUGGCUCACCUAGGCGACGAUCCCUAGCUGGUCUGAGAGGAUGACCAGCCACACUGGAACUGAGACACGGUCCAGACUCCUACGGGAGGCAGCAGUGGGGAAUAUUGCACAAUGGGCGCAAGCCUGAUGCAGCCAUGCCGCGUGUAUGAAGAAGGCCUUCGGGUUGUAAAGUACUUUCAGCGGGAGGAAGGCGAUAAGGUUAAUAACCUUNUCGAUUGACGUUACCCGCAGAAGAGCACCGGCUAACUCCGUGCCAGCAGCCGCGGUAAUACGGAGGGNGCAAGCGUUAAUCGAAUUACUGGCGUAAAGCGCACGCAGGCGGUCUGUCAGUCAGAUGUGAAUCCCCGGGCUUACUGGACUGCAUUUGAACUG